AAUCAACGCUGGCGGCGUGCCUAACACAUGCAAGUCGAACGCGAAAGGGGAGCAAUCCCUGAUUAGAGUGGCAAACGGGUGAGUAACACGUGGGUGACCUGCCUUCGAGUGGGGGAUAACCUUCCGAAGGAGGGCUAAUACCGCAUGACAUACCGUGUUUGGAUACACGGAUAUCAAAGCCGGGGAUCGCAAGACCUGGCGCUUGAAGAGGGGCUCGCGUCCGAUUAGCUAGUUGGGGGGUAACGGCUCACCAAGGCUCCGAUCGGUAUCCGGCCUGAGAGGGCGGACGGACACACUGGAACUGAGACACGGUCCAGACUCCUACGGGAGGCAGCAGUGGGGAAUUGUUCGCAAUGGGCGAAAGCCUGACGACGCAACGCCGCGUGGAGGAUGAAGAA
rnacentral:rRNA from 1 species